GCCUUCGUGGUGUAACGGUAGCACACUCGGCUCGCUUUCGAGAGAUCCAGGUUCAAAUCCCGGUAAGGGAA
rnacentral:tRNA from 1 species